UACGAAGGGGGCUAGCGUUGCUCGGAAUUAUUGGGCGUAAAGGGCGCGUAGGCGGCCUGGCAAGUGGAAGAUGAAAUCCCUCGGCUUAACCGAGGAACUGCCUCCCAAACUGCUUGGCUUGAGACCAGGAGAGGUGAGUGGAAUUCCCAGUGUAGCGGUGAAAUGCGUAGAUAUUGGGAGGAACACCAGUGGCGAAGGCGGCUCACUGGACUGGUACUGACGCUGAGGCGCGAAAGCGUGGGGAGCAAACGGG
rnacentral:rRNA from 1 species